UUCUUAAGGGGCUCAGUCAGUUUCUCCACAGCUGGUGGGAGAGGGUCUCUGUUAAAAAUAACUUCAUUGUUCUGGUUGUAACUAAUUAGGAAUUUGCAAUUAUCCAGGCAAAUCUAAGAUAAAGUUUGGCUUACUACUCUAUAUGAAAAGGUUUUACUGUAACAAGUUUAAAUAGAUCAUAAGGGGAAUAUUUACUUAAUCGGGAGAACAAACCACUUUAAGCACUUUGAAAAAAUCAAUUUACUUAAAAGCAAUGUAAAACUGCAGUAUGGGUUGAAAAUAGUUUGACUACUGGGCUUUUUCAUAGAGGUGUGGGACUUCCAUGAAAUAAAUGGCAAUAUAUUCAGUACUGUCACAUAAACUAGGAAUAGUUAGAAGUAUAAUUUUGUAUACAAAAUAAGUCACAACAGUAAGCAGAUGUCCACCUCCCCAUAUCUCAUCCCACUCCCACCAAUAGAGUCCCAAAUAUGCCUGUUGAUUUGCUUUGAAUGUUUUCUAUUGAUAUUUGUUUUGCUACUUGUUGUCUCCUCCUGUAAGCACUUGAUGGCAGAUUGGUGAGAGCAGGUGUUAAAGGCUUAAAAACAUCAUUAUUGCUUUUAACUGUCCAUGUCUUCCUCCAUAUGAGAUUGGGCAAAGUUGUGGAAAGCCUGCCAGUGGUAUUUAGUAUUUCCUGCGUCAGACCUGGAGCAGUUAGCUCAGGGGAACUCCUGCUUCCACGGUGCCAAGUUCCUCAUUCUGCAUCUCUCAUGAACACUGGCUUCUGCUUGAAGAAUCCCUGGUUUGUGAAGAAGCCAGUUGAGGGAGAUUCUCCAUGAAUGUACGUCACAAUGAUGAUGACCGACCAGAUCCCUCUGGAACUGCCACCGUUGCUGAACGGAGAGGUUGCCAUGAUGCCUCACUUGGUGAAUGGAGAUGCGGCUCAGCAGGUUAUUCUCGUUCAAGUUAAUCCAGGUGAGACUUUCACAAUAAGAGCGGAGGAUGGAACACUGCAGUGCAUUCAAGUUGGAGGCUAAUUACUUUACAACGGUAUUUUUUUCUGAUGGCAUUUCGCUAAUCGUUGUGUCCCUGAAAUUGAUCUUUGGUGUUCUAAACAAUUUAAAAACCAAGUCUACUCUUUGGUGAUGAAUAAUCAUACAAAGGAACUUCAGAUAAAAGAAGAGAGAAAAUAUUUCAAAGUAGUAUAGGA